GCCUUCUUAGCUCAGUGGUAGAGCGUUGCACUUGUAUAUGAUCACUUCAAUUCAUGUGAUCCACAAUGCAAAGGUCAGUCGUUCAAUCCGGCUAGGAGGCA